GCGGAAGUAGUUCAGUGGUAGAACAUCACCUUGCAUGGUGGGGGUCGCGGGUUCGAAUCCCGUCUUCCGCU
rnacentral:tRNA from 1 species